UAUUUGGCCCAAUCCUUUACAGUACUACUUGGUUCCUGAUAUGGAUGAUGAAGAAGGGGAAGGAGAAGAAGAUGAUGAUGAUGAUGAAGAAGAAGAAGGAUUGGAAGAUAUUGAUGAAGAAGGAGAUGAGGAUGAAGGUGAUGAAGAUGAUGAUGAGGGGGAGGAAGGAGAGGAGGAUGAAGGAGAAGACGACUGAUGGAUUCCAACCUUCCUUUUUUAAUUUUCUCCAGUCCCUGGGAGCAACUUGCAGUCUUUUUUUUUUUUUCCCCCUCCUCUUGUGCUCAUUCGCCCUGUUUUUUGAAGUCUCUUUUCUCUCCCUUUAUACCAUGGUUCUCAACUUAUUUUGGGGGGGAAAUACCUUGAGCAGAAUACAGUGGGAAAAGAAUCUCUACCCCUUUCUGUUCCAAAUUCAUUUUUAUCCCUUCCUGUCUCAACAAAAACUUUAUGGAAUCAACACCACCGUGCUCUGUGGGAAAAAAGAAAAACCUUCUGCUCCCUUAGCUCUGCUGGAAGCUGGAGGGUGCUAGGCCCCUGUGUAGUAGUGCAUAGAAUUCUAGCUUUUUUCCUCCUUUCUCUGUAUAUUGGGCUCAGAGAUUACACUGUGUCUCUAUGUGAAUAUGGACAGUUAGCAUUUACCAACAUGUAUCUGUCUACUUUCUCUUGUUUAAAAAAAAGAAAAAAAAACUUAAAAAAAUGGGGUUAUAGAAGGUCAGCAAAGGGUGGGUUUGAGAUGUUUGGGUGGGUUAAGUGGGCAUUUUGACAACAUGGCUUCUCCUUUGGCAUGUU
rnacentral:lncRNA from 1 species